CCAGGGAGGCGAGGCGCAGCUAUAAUCAACCUGAAAUUAACUUUUCAAGUGAAUGAGUUUGGAGUCAAAAGGUUUAAAAGCAAUGCACUGAAGUUUCCCAGUUGACCCUCCACAUCUGAGUAGCACAGGAACAGAGAGAAUUGAAAGAGAAAGAAGACUGAGUCAAAUCAGUGAUCAAGAAAAUGGAAAUCCUUUUAUGGGUGGUUAAAGGAAUGGAAGAGAAGACUGGGCUAUUAUAGCUGUGUGUCAUCCAGGAUCUGCACAUCUUGAUGCUCAACUCCAGAAAGCUCCAGACACAUUUAGAACUCAAACUCUUCAAGAAUCUCAAAAACCAGGGACAUCAAAGCACACAGGUUCCAUUGUCCAUGCAGAUGGAUACCAAGAGAGGGCUGAGGAAUACGUCUUUGGGCAGCUGUGGGAAAGUGACUUAGGAUUGUCAAAACAAGUACUACUGUGAAAGAAGCUUCCAAUAAGAGAUAAGUUCUCAGUAAAAUAUCACCAAGCAAAUGAAGAUUGACACCAUGAAAAAGAGACUCAACAAAUAAAAGAAUUGUUUUAUCUACUAUAAGAAAUUGAAAUUCGAAACAAUAUGGCAAGAACUUAAACGUAAAAGACUCAAACAACAAAGAAGGAAAUAGCAAUUU
rnacentral:lncRNA from 10 species